rnacentral:rRNA from 1 species
CAUGAGUUAUGUCAUGUUAUCGACAUGUGAAUUCAUAGCAUGUCAGAAGGCAGACCCGGAGAACUGAAACAUCUUAGUACCCGGAGGAAGAGAAAGAAAAAUCGAUUCCCUGAGUAGCGGCGAGCGAAACGGGAAGAGCCCAAACCAACAAGCUUGCUUGUUGGGGUUGUAGGACACUCUAUACGGAGUUACAAAAGAACAUGUUAGACGAAUCAUCUGGAAAGAUGAAUCAAAGAAGGUAAUAAUCCUGUAGUCGAAAACAUAUUCUCUCUUGAGUGGAUCCUGAGUACGACGGAGCACGUGAAAUUCCGUCGGAAUCUGGGAGGACCAUCUCCUAAGGCUAAAUACUCUCUAGUGACCGAUAGUGAACCAGUACCGUGAGGGAAAGGUGAAAAGUACCCCGGAAGGGGAGUGAAAGAGAACUUGAAACCGUGUGCUUACAAGUAGUCAGAGCCCGUUAAUGGGUGAUGGCGUGCCUUUUGUAGAAUGAACCGGCGAGUUACGAUCUGAUGCAAGGUUAAGCAGCAAAUGUGGAGCCGCAGCGAAAGCGAGUCUGAAUAGGGCGUUGAGUAUUUGGUCGUAGACCCGAAACCAGGUGAUCUACCCUUGGUCAGGUUGAAGUUCAGGUAACACUGAAUGGAGGACCGAACCGACUUACGUUGAAAAGUGAGCGGAUGAACUGAGGGUAGCGGAGAAAUUCCAAUCGAACUUGGAGAUAGCUGGUUCUCUCCGAAAUAGCUUUAGGGCUAGCCUCAAGUGAUGAUUAUUGGAGGUAGAGCACUGUUUGGACGAGGGGCCCCUCUCGGGUUACCGAAUUCAGACAAACUCCGAAUGCCAAUUAAUUUAACUUGGGAGUCAGAACAUGGGUGAUAAGGUCCGUGUUCGAAAGGGAAACAGCCCAGACCACCAGCUAAGGUCCCAAAAUAUAUGUUAAGUGGAAAAGGAUGUGGCGUUGCCCAGACAACUAGGAUGUUGGCUUAGAAGCAGCCAUCAUUUAAAGAGUGCGUAAUAGCUCACUAGUCGAGUGACACUGCGCCGAAAAUGUACCGGGGCUAAACAUAUUACCGAAGCUGUGGAUUGUCCUUUGGACAAUGGUAGGAGAGCGUUCUAAGGGCGUCGAAGCAUGAUCGCAAGGACAUGUGGAGCGCUUAGAAGUGAGAAUGCCGGUGUGAGUAGCGAAAGACGGGUGAGAAUCCCGUCCACCGAUUGACUAAGGUUUCCAGAGGAAGGCUCGUCCGCUCUGGGUUAGUCGGGUCCUAAGCUGAGGCCGACAGGCGUAGGCGAUGGAUAACAGGUUGAUAUUCCUGUACCACCUAGUAUCGUUUUAAUCGAUGGGGGGACGCAGUAGGAUAGGCGAAGCGUGCUGUUGGAGUGCACGUCCAAGCAGUAAGGCUGAGUGUUAGGCAAAUCCGGCACUCAUAAGGCUGAGCUGUGAUGGGGAGAGGAAAUUGUUUCCUCGAGUCGUUGAUUUCACACUGCCGAGAAAAGCCUCUAGAUAGAUAACAGGUGCCCGUACCGCAAACCGACACAGGUAGUCAAGAUGAGAAUUCUAAGGUGAGCGAGCGAACUCUCGUUAAGGAACUCGGCAAAAUGACCCCGUAACUUCGGGAGAAGGGGUGCUCUUUAGGGUUCACGCCCAGAAGAGCCGCAGUGAAUAGGCCCAAGCGACUGUUUAUCAAAAACACAGGUCUCUGCUAAACCGUAAGGUGAUGUAUAGGGGCUGACGCCUGCCCGGUGCUGGAAGGUUAAGAGGAGUGGUUAGCUUCUGCGAAGCUACGAAUCGAAGCCCCAGUAAACGGCGGCCGUAACUAUAACGGUCCUAAGGUAGCGAAAUUCCUUGUCGGGUAAGUUCCGACCCGCACGAAAGGCGUAACGAUUUGGGCACUGUCUCAAC